rnacentral:rRNA from 1 species
AACUUAGCGGCGGACGGGUGAGUAACGUGUGGGUAACCUGCCAUAUACAGGGGAAUAAUCACUGGAAACGGUGACUAAUACCGCAUGUCACCGCGGGAGGGCAUCCUCCUGCGGGAAAAGGAGCAAUCCGGUAUAUGAUGGACCCGCAUCUGAUUAGCUAGUUGGUGAGAUAACAGCCCACCAAGGCGACGAUCAGUAGCCGACCUGAGAGGGUGAUCGGCCACAUUGGGACUGAGACACGGCCCAAACUCCUACGGGAGGCAGCAGUGGGGAAUAUUGCACAAUGGGGGAAACCCUGAUGCAGCAACGCCGCGUGAAGGAAGAAGGCUUUCGGGUCGUAAACUUCUAUCAAUAGGGACGAAGAAAGUGACGGUACCUAAAUAAGAAGCCCCGGCUAACUACGUGCCAGCAGCCGCGGUAAUACGUAGGGGGCAAGCGUUAUCCGGAAUUACUGGGUGUAAAGGGAGCGUAGGCGGCAUGGUAAGCCAGAUGUGAAAGCCCGGGGCUUAACUCCGAGGAUUGCAUUUGGAACUAUCAAGCUAGAGUACAGGAGAGGAAAGCGGAAUUCCUAGUGUAGCGGUGAAAUGCGUAGAUAUUAGGAAGAACACCAGUGGCGAAGGCGGCUUUCUGGACUGAAACUGACGCUGAGGCUCGAAAGC